UCAAAGUGUGAUCGGGUACUUUUUGUAGAACGGUCCGGCGAGCGUAUGUACGUAGCAAGGUUAAGUUCUUCAGGAACGGAGCCGAAGCGAGAGCAAGUCUGAAUAGGGCGUCAAGUUACGUGCAUAGGGCCCGAAACCGGGUGACCUAUCCAUGUCCAGGCUGAAGUUGGGGUAAGACCCAAUGGAGGGCCGAACCGACCUCCGUUGAAAAGGCGGCGGAUGAGGUGUGGAUAGCGGAGAAAUUCCAAUCGAACCCGGAGAUAGCUGGUUCUCCCCGAAAUAGCUUUAGGGCUAGCGUUGUAUAUCAUUACCGGAGGUAAAGCACUGAAUGGCCUAGGGCCCUAACGGGUACCGAAGCCUAUCAAACUAAGAAUGCCGGAUAAUGUGAGUACAGCAGUCAGACUAUGGGAGAUAAGUUUCAUGGUCAAAAGGGAAACAGCCCAGACCCACAGCUAAGGUCCCAAAUAUGAUUUAAGUGGAAAACGAUGUGGAGUUGCGAAAACAACCAGGAUGUUGGCUUAGAAGCAGCCACUCAUUCAAAGAGUGCGUAAUAGCUCACUGGUCGAGUGACUCUGCGCGGAAAAUUCAACGGGGCUAAAAUCAUAACCGAAGCUUGGGAUGCAUUAAUGCAUGGUAGGGGAGCGUUGUGUAAGGGGUGAAGUCACAGCGGAAGCGGUGGUGGACAUUACACAAGUGAGAAUGCCGGAAUGAGUAGCGCGAAUUAUGUGAGAAUCAUAAUGGCCGAAAGUCUAAGGUUUUUGGAGGAAGGUUCGUCCGCUCCAAGUUAGUCGGGAGCUAAGGUGAGGCCGAAAGGCGUAGCCGAUGCACAUACGGUAGACAUUCCGUAACCGUCGAAGUAUUUAAGCAAAGGGACACUUUGGGAAGGUACAAGCCAGGCGUUGGUAGCCCUGGCCGUAAGGGACUGAAAAUUAGUAGGGAAGUGUACUGGAACAGAGGCGAGAAAAGCUUUGUGUAUAUACAAGACGCCCGUACCGCAAACCGACACAGGUAGAUGGGAAGAGAAUUCUAAGGCCAACGGGAGAAGGGUUGUUAAGGAACUCGGCAAGUUGACCCCGUAACUUCGGAAGAAGGGGAGCCUCGAAAGAGGCCGCAGUGAAUAGGCCCAAGCAACUGUUUACCAAAAACACAGGUUUAUGCUAAAUCGAAAGAUGACGUAUAUGAGCUGACGCCUGCCCGGUGCCGGAAGGUUAAGAGGAGAGCUUAGAGCAAUCGAAGGUUUGAAUUGAAGCCCCGGUAAACGGCGGCCGUAACUAUAACGGUCCUAAGGUAGCGAAAUUCCUUGUCAGGUAAG
rnacentral:rRNA from 1 species